rnacentral:lncRNA from 1 species
UUGAGGUUGACCCUAUAUGUGUUCCUUGCUCCAACGAAAGGGAAACUUUCCAUCAUCUAUUUUUCCACUGUAGUUACUCUUUUCAGAUUCUGGUUGCAGUUCUUAGACGCUGUGGUUGGCAUGGGUUCAGUCGUAGUUGGACCUCUAUCACUGAGUUUAUUACUCGCAGCUCCUCCCAAAACUUUCAUCAUAGUCUUUUGCAUUUUGGUUUUGCUAUUGUGGUCUAUAGGAUAUGGCAAGAAUGGAAUGCUAGGAUUUUUACUAAAGUUGUUAGUCCUGCCCGGAACAUUUUCCUUGAUAUUAUUCAUUUGCUCAAGUGUGGUCUCCAUACUAAUGCAAGGUUUCAAAAAAAUUAAAUCCAGGUUAUGUUAUCAACAUCUUGAUUUGUAAGAUUUGCAAGUUUGUAAGUUUUUUCUAGGUUCGUGGGAGGGCGUAUGGAGCUUUGGUUUGAGCUUGUCUAGAUGCAG